ensembl:lncRNA
CAGACAGCCAGGUUCAUAAGGGAUAUAAGGAAGUUUUUUCCAAAAAAGGAGCCACAUUCAGCCUGACUUCACUGCCUGCACUCCAGACCUUUGGCCAGCUGAAGACAUUUGGAGCAUCAUGAAACCAAAAACAUGACAGAGAAGACCCAGGACUGCUGAGCAGCUAGAAUCCUCUAACAGACAAGAACAGGACGACAUUCCUUUUCCCAAACAGUUUCCUGCUUCCAGAGAAAUAAAAGCUGCAUGCAACUGUGAUGUUUCCUCCUUCCUCUGCUCUGUGGGUGAGAGUUUGUGCUUUGACCAAACCAGUGUUUCCAUCCUGAAGUGCUGCUGAAAGGAUGAACAAUCAUCAGUUACAAUCUUACAAUAGAUUAAAUGUGACAGUCGGGGUGAGUGAUGCGAUCCUCCUACAAGGCAGAUAAAUCCCCGCAGUCUGAGUGUGUGCAGGUCUGGAUCCUGGAGAUCACGCUGGAAGGAUCCAUCUAGUGGAAUCACUGGACUCUCUUCAUGGAGCUCAUGGCUCAGUAAAACAGCUGACAGAGACACGGAGCAUCGUUAAUCACAUGAAACCGGAACUUGUGCGAUUUUACCGCCUUCUACCGAACAUUCAUCUGACUGUUAGGGGCCAAUGACUCUCGAAAACAUUUUAUCAGUAAGUACUGUAUACAGUAUGAUGACAGUAUUUUCCCACAUUUUCUGGAUUCUGUACCACUACUGUGUGUAAAAUGCCAUCAAAAAGUCAAUUAAGUUUUAUUCUUUCUCACCUGUCUUUCUGUCUCCUUUCACUUUUUAAAGUUUGCCAUGUUAGAAAAAUAUUUUGCCCUGCCAUGCUGUUUAUUGAUUUGGUAAAUAAAUAGUUUAUGAAAAUAUCACUAAAUCUGUCAUUUAUUAUUUUAAAUAUUCAGUAAUGAUCAUGUCUCACCUCUAGUCUUCACUGUCUUAAUUUCAGGCUUCUGCCAUGUGUUGUAGAUAGUUCAGGAAGUUAACUUGACCAAGCAGUCUUUGGGUUCCGGCUAAGUACUGUUUAGAAUACCAGAAUACCAACAAGACAGUGUACAUCACCGUCUCAACGACAUUUGUUUUCUGUUGCUUAUUCUGUCUUCACCAACAAUAAAAGACUGCACAUUAAGAACCCCA